rnacentral:rRNA from 1 species
UACGUAGGGUGCGAGCGUUAAUCGGAAUUACUGGGCGUAAAGCGCGCGUAGGCGGCUUUGUAAGUUAGAGGUGAAAGCCCGGAGCUCAACUCCGGAAUUGCCUUUAAGACUGCAUCGCUAGAAUCAUGGAGAGGUGAGUGGAAUUCCGAGUGUAGAGGUGAAAAUUCGUAGAUAUUCGGAAGAACACCAGUGGCGAAGGCGACUCACUGGACAUGUAUUGACGCUGAGGUGCGAAAGCGUGGGGAGCAAACAGGG